GACGAACGCUGGCGGCGUGCUUAACACAUGCAAGUCGAACGGAAAGGCCCUGCUUUUGUGGGGUGCUCGAGUGGCGAACGGGUGAGUAACACGUGAGUAACCUGCCCUUGACUUUGGGAUAACUUCAGGAAACUGGGGCUAAUAUCGGAUAGGAGCUCCUGCUGCAUGGUGGGGGUUGGAAAGUUUCGGCGGUUGGGGAUGGACUCGCGGCUUAUCAGCUUGUUGGUGGGGUAGUGGCUUACCAAGGCUUUGACGGGUAGCCGGCCUGAGAGGGUGACCGGCCACAAUGGGACUGAGAUACGGCCCAGACUCCUACGGGAGGCAGCAGUGGGGAAUAUUGCACAAUGGGCGGAAGCCUGAUGCAGCAACGCCGCGUGCGGGAUGACGGCCUUCGGGUUGUAAACCGCUUUCGCCUGUGACGAAGCGUGAGUGACGGUAAUGGGUAAAGAAGCACCGGCUAACUACGUG
rnacentral:rRNA from 1 species